rnacentral:lncRNA from 1 species
CACCCUCAACACUGUCACUCUGGGCACUGAGCCUGUAGCACAUGAACUUCAGGGGACAGUUGUAUCCCAGUUGAGUUUCGCAACCAUGAUGUGGGAAUGGACUUGAAAAACAUCUGGUUAAUAUUUUCCAAAGCUGAAUCUAUGCAUACUCUACGAGCUACCAGUCCCACUCCUGAGUAAAUACUGCAUAGAAAUGAACACACAUGUCCAUCAAAGAUGGGCCUUCAGAGCAGAGCUUAUAGCCCCAAACCAGAAAUGAUGCAAAGGUCUAAAGUCUGAGUAUGAGAAUUAAAUUAUAGUCAAACCUCAAAGUGAACUACUACACAACAGUGAAUGAACAGACCUCAGUCACCCCAGGGAUACAGAAAAAUCUCACACCCAUCAUGUUAAAGAGCAGAAUUCGUUUAUAGAGAAAUUCAUUCUAUAUGAGUCAAUGAAGACAGGGUUCCAAUACAGGCACAACUCAUGUCUGGUGUUAGAGCUCAGGUGAUUUGGUCAAUUAGAAGCUGGUAGGACAUGAUACGAUUCCUAAAAUUCUCCAAAUCAACAGCAGACUAGAGCCAGAUGUGACCCUCUGCCCAAAUCAGAGGACUUUUGAAUGGCCUAGACAUUCCACAACCUGACUCAAUCUUAGCCAGAUUGUAAG